rnacentral:rRNA from 1 species
CUUUUACAAUGAAGAGUUUGAUCCUGGCUCAGGAUGAACGCUAGCUACAGGCUUAACACAUGCAAGUCGAGGGGCAUCAGGAAGAAAGCUUGCUUUCUUUGCUGGCGACCGGCGCACGGGUGAGUAACACGUAUCCAACCUGCCCUUUACUCGGGGAUAGCCUUUCGAAAGAAAGAUUAAUACCCGAUAGUAUAAUGAUUCCGCAUGGUUUGAUUAUUAAAGGAUUCCGGUAAAGGAUGGGGAUGCGUUCCAUUAGGUUGUUGGUGAGGUAACGGCUCACCAAGCCUUCGAUGGAUAGGGGUUCUGAGAGGAAGGUCCCCCACAUUGGAACUGAGACACGGUCCAAACUCCUACGGGAGGCAGCAGUGAGGAAUAUUGGUCAAUGGGCGCGAGCCUGAACCAGCCAAGUAGCGUGAAGGAUGACUGCCCUAUGGGUUGUAAACUUCUUUUAUAUUAGAAUAAAGUGCAGUAUGUAUACUGUUUUGUAUGUAUAAUAUGAAUAAGGAUCGGCUAACUCCGUGCCAGCAGCCGCGGUAAUACGGAGGAUCCGAGCGUUAUCCGGAUUUAUUGGGUUUAAAGGGAGCGUAGGUGGGCUGGUAAGUCAGUUGUGAAAGUUUGCGGCUCAACCGUAAAAUUGCAGUUGAUACUGUCAGUCUUGAGUACAGUAGAGGUGGGCGGAAUUCGUGGUGUAGCGGUGAAAUGCUUAGAUAUCACGAAGAACUCCGAUUGCGAAGGCAGCUCACUGGACUGCAACUGACACUGAUGCUCGAAAGUGUGGGUAUCAAACAGGAUUAGAUACCCUGGUAGUCCACACAGUAAACGAUGAAUACUCGCUGUUUGCGAUAUACAGUAAGCGGCCAAGCGAAAGCAUUAAGUAUUCCACCUGGGGAGUACGCCGGCAACGGUGAAACUCAAAGGAAUUGACGGGGGCCCGCACAAGCGGAGGAACAUGUGGUUUAAUUCGAUGAUACGCGAGGAACCUUACCCGGGCUUAAAUUGCAGUGGAAUGAUGUGGAAACAUGUCAGUGAGCAAUCACCGCUGUGAAGGUGCUGCAUGGUUGUCGUCAGCUCGUGCCGUGAGGUGUCGGCUUAAGUGCCAUAACGAGCGCAACCCUUAUCUUCAGUUACUAACAGGUCAUGCUGAGGACUCUGGAGAGACUGCCGUCGUAAGAUGUGAGGAAGGUGGGGAUGACGUCAAAUCAGCACGGCCCUUACGUCCGGGGCUACACACGUGUUACAAUGGGGGGUACAGAAGGCAGCUACCUGGUGACAGGAUGCUAAUCCCAAAAGCCUCUCUCAGUUCGGAUCGAAGUCUGCAACCCGACUUCGUGAAGCUGGAUUCGCUAGUAAUCGCGCAUCAGCCACGGCGCGGUGAAUACGUUCCCGGGCCUUGUACACACCGCCCGUCAAGCCAUGGGAGCCGGGGGUACCUGAAGUACGUAACCGCAAGGAGCGUCCUAGGGUAAAACUGGUGACUGGGGCUAAGUCGUAACAAGGUAGCCGUACCGGAAGGUGCGGCUGGAACACCUCCUUUCU